GACGUAGGAUGCGAGCGUUGUCCGGAUUCAUUGGGCGUAAAGAGUUCGUAGGCGGUUUAUUAAGUCUGAUGUUAAAGAUCAGGGCCCAACCCUGGAGGUGCAUUGGAUACUGGUAGACUGGAGUGCAGUAGAGGCGAGUGGAAUUCCCAGUGUAGCGGUGAAAUGCGUAGAUAUUGGGAAGAAUACCGGUGGCGCAGGCGACUCGCUGGGCUGUAACUGACGCUGAGGAACGAAAGCUAGGGGAGCAAAUGGG
rnacentral:rRNA from 1 species